GGGGUGGAGCAGUCUGGUAGCUCGUCGGGCUCAUAACCCGAAGGUCGCAGGUUCAAAUCCUGCCUCC
rnacentral:tRNA from 1 species